AAAACUUUCAACAACGGAUCUCUUGGUUCUGGCAUCGAUGAAGAACGCAGCGAAAUGCGAUAAGUAAUGUGAAUUGCAGAAUUCAGUGAAUCAUCGAAUCUUUGAACGCACAUUGCGCCCGGCAGUAUUCUGCCGGGCAUGCCUGUCCGAGCGUCAUUU
rnacentral:rRNA from 1 species